rnacentral:rRNA from 1 species
ACGGAAGGCAGCAGUGGGGAAUAUUGCACAAUGGGGGAAACCCUGAUGCAGCGACGCCGCGUGAGUGAUGAAGUAUUUCGGUAUGUAAAGCUCUAUCAGCAGGGAAGAUAAUGACGGUACCUGACUAAGAAGCACCGGCUAAAUACGUGCCAGCAGCCGCGGUAAUACGUAUGGUGCAAGCGUUAUCCGGAUUUACUGGGUGUAAAGGGAGCGCAGGCGGUACGGCAAGUCUGAAGUGAAAUGCGGGGGCUCAACCCCUGAACUGCUUUGGAAACUGUCAAGCUAGAGUGCAGGAGAGGAAAGCGGAAUUCCUAGUGUAGCGGUGAAAUGCGUAGAUAUUAGGAGGAACACCAGUGGCGAAGGCGGCUUUCUGGACUGUAACUGACACUGAGGCACGAAAGCGUGGGGAGCAAACAGGAUUAGAUACCCUGGUA